GUGCUCGCUUGGGCAGCACAUAUACUAAAAUUGGAAUGAUACAGAGAAGAUUAACAUGGCCCCUGUGCAAGGAUGACACACAGAUCGGUGAAGAGUUCCAUACUUUU
ensembl:snRNA U6 U6 spliceosomal RNA